AUUGAACGCUGGCGGCAGGCUUAACACAUGCAAGUCGAGCGAGCGGCGGACGGGUGAGUAAUGUCUGGGAAACUGCCUGAUGGAGGGGGAUAACUACUGGAAACGGUAGCUAAUACCGCAUACCAUCAGAUGUGUCCAGAUGGGAUUAGCUAGUAGGUUGGGUAAUGGCUCACCUAGGCGACGAUCCCUAGCUGGUCUGAGAAGAUGACCAGCCACACGUGAACUGAGACACGAUCCAUACUCCUACGGGAGGCAGCAGUGGGGAAUGUUGCACAAUGGGCGCAAGCCUGAUGCAGCCAUGCCGCGUGUGUGAAGAAGGCCUUCGGGUUGUAAAGCACUUUCAGCGAGGAGGCGUUACUCGCAGAAGAAGCACCGGCUAACUCCGUGCCAGCCGCCGCGGUAAUAC
rnacentral:rRNA from 1 species